rnacentral:misc_RNA from 1 species
GAUGAAGAACGUAGCGAAAUGCGAUAAGUAAUGUGAAUUGCAGAAUUCAGUGAAUCAUCGAAUCUUUGAACGCACCUUGCGCCCUUUGGCUAUUCCGAAGGGCAUGCCUGUUUGAGUAUCAUGAACACCUCAACUCUCAUGGCUUGCCAUGAUGAGCUUGGACUCUGGGGGUCUUGCUGGCUUUACGGUCAGCUCCUCUCAAAUAAAUCAGCUUGCCGGUGUUUGGUGGGAUCACAGGUGUGAUAACUAUCUACGCUUGUGGUUUUCCGCCAGGUAACCUUCAGCAAUGGAGGUUCGCUGGAGCUCAUAAAUGUCUCUCCUCAGCGAGGACAGAUUUUGACCGUUUGAUCUCAAAUCAGGUAGGACUACCCGCUGAACUUAAGCAUAUCAAUAAGCGGAGGA